rnacentral:rRNA from 1 species
GAUGAACGCUAGCGACAGGCUUAACACAUGCAAGUCGAGGGGCAGCGAUAGGUGGCAACACCGAGUCGGCGACCGGCGCACGGGUGAGUAACGCGUAUGCAACCUGCCCAUCAGCGGGGGAUAACCCGUCGAAAGACGGACUAAUACCGCAUAAAACAGGGGUUCCGCAUGGAAAUAUUUGUUAAAGAUUUAUUGCUGAUGGAUGGGCAUGCGUUCUAUUAGGUAGUAGGCGGGGUAACGGCCCACCUAGCCGACGAUCAGUAGGGGUUCUGAGAGGAAGGUCCCCCACAUUGGAACUGAGACACGGUCCAAACUCCUACGGGAGGCAGCAGUGAGGAAUAUUGGUCAAUGGGCGAGAGCCUGAACCAGCCAAGUAGCGUGCAGGAAGACGGCCCUACGGGUUGUAAACUGCUUUUAUGAAGGAAUAAAGUCACCCACGUGUGGGUGUUUGCAUGUACUUUAUGAAUAAGGACCGGCUAAUUCCGUG